GAAGCGCCAGAAAGUGAAUGCUGCUAACUUAUCACUAUAGCGGUUAAAUCCGUUUACGCUUCU
rnacentral:tRNA from 1 species